UACGAAGGGGGCUAGCGUUGCUCGGAAUCACUGGGCGUAAAGCGCACGUAGGCGGCUUCUUAAGUCAGGGGUGAAAUCCUGGAGCUCAACUCCAGAACUGCCUUUGAUACUGAGGAGCUCGAGUCCGGGAGAGGUGAGUGGAACUCCGAGUGUAGAGGUGAAAUUCGUAGAUAUUCGGAAGAACACCAGUGGCGAAGGCGGUCAACUGGCCCUGAACUGACGCUCAGGCACGAAAGCGUGGG
rnacentral:rRNA from 1 species